GAAACGCGAUAGUUAAUGUGAAUUGCAGAAUUCAGUGAAUCAUCGAGUCUUUGAACGCACAUUGCGCCCCUUGGUAUUCCAUGGGGCAUGCCUGUUCGAGCGUCAUUUGUACCCUCAAGCUCUGCUUGGUGUUGGGUGUUUGUCCCCGUCUCCGCGCGUGGACUCGCCCCAAAGUGAUUGGCAGCCGGCGUACUGGUCCCGGAGCGCAGCACAUGUCGCGCAAACGAGUGCCUUGGUACGGCGGCGUCCAUAAGCCCCUCUCUCACGCUCUUGACCUCGGAUCAGGUAGGGAUACCCGCUGAACUUAAGC
rnacentral:misc_RNA from 1 species